UUCGGUUAAAGUUCUAAUUGGGACUCCUUGCGAUUUUAGCAGGUGGAAGAGGGUAGCAAUAACAGGUCCGUGAUGCCCGUUAGAUGCUCUGGGCUGCACGCGUGCUACAAUGUUAGGAUCAAUAGGACUGCGAGCCUGAGAGGGUGCGCUACUCUUAUAAUCCCUAACGUAGUUGGGAUUGACGUUUGUAAUCAGCGUCAUGAACCAGGAAUCCCUUGUAAAUGUGUGUCAACAACGCACGUUGAAUACGUCCCUGCCCUUUGUACACACCGCCCGUCGCUCCUACCGAUUGGAUGACUCGGUGAAAUCACCGGAUGCUUACGAGCAGAAAGUGAUUAAAUCACGUUAUCUAGAGGAAGGAGAAGUCGUAACAAGGUAACGGUAGGUGAACCUGCCGUUGGAUCAGUU
rnacentral:ncRNA from 1 species